AGACAGCAUUGAGGAAGAAGUCUAUACACCACAGACUUGUACCCGGAUUGUAUGAAGUGCUUAAAAAUUAAUUUAAGGGAUGUCCUUGGUGGGUCAGUGCUUGAGACGCCUCUGCCUGCCAAUGCAGGGGACACAGCUUCAAGCCCUGGGCCGGGAGGAUCCCACGCACCCCGGAGCAGCUGAGCGUGUGCAGCAGUUAUGAGACCGAGCUCCGCAACUGGAGAGGUGACCACGGUGGGAAGCCCGCCCACUGUGAGUGGACAAUGGCAACCAGAGAGCAGCCGACACACGGCCACACAGACCCAGUGCUGCUAAAGAUAAAAAUUUAAACCGAUUUUCAAAAUGGACAGAAUACUCACAGACUCUUAAGGAACGAUGCAUAAAAUGGUUCCGCGUAUGAAAAAGGUUAAAUGUCACAGACGGUUAUCAGGGAAAUACAGAAUACAGGUUAAAACCAGUCAGAUACCAUUAAAAUGGUUAAAACAAACAGAAAGACUGAUGUGACGGGUUCUGAGGAAACAGAGAAGGUACCGUGGUGCAGCUUUGGGGUUCCGCCCAGCAGACCCCCACAUCCGUUCAGAGCAGGCAAUGGCCAUGACGUACCUAGGUGACAAGGUCAACUCCGGACAAGCCAACAGCUGAGAGGCCUGUGUGUUACCCACACAUGGGACAGGAAACAGGAGGAAGCCUCUGGGUAGAUCCCUAAUCGGGAACAGGGAUCGACUGGAAGCAUAGUGUGCUCUUGUAGUGGGAGAGCGAGCUGGGGGGCAUACGGACUGGAAUUUGCAGAACGGAAUGUGGGGCAGGAAGGAGCCACCGAGAAAGAGGGUCCAGAAACGUGCAGACGAGUCUCCGAGUCUGGCUCUGUCCAUCUGUCCACGGCUAAGUGUGACCCCCCGAGAAUGAGCCUAGAACACAUUCCAAGGAGAGACUAACUUGUGGGAAGCUGUGACCUCAACAGGCCAAGGCAGGCCCCUCACCCAACACCCAGGGCACCCGUGUGCCCUCUCAGGUCAGAUUCCUUCUCAGGACGCUUCCAGAACGAGCUUCAAAAUGAACCGACGUGCAUCAGUAAACUGCCACCAGAAUAAACAAAGUUUUUAAAAUAGCGCAACAUAACCCAACGCAGCAUUAACGCAUGAAUUCUGAAACCCAAUGAGGAUUUCUAGACCUGGAAAGACACAGUCACCAGAGGGGCCCAGAGAAAGCGGCCAGGUUCACGCAGGUCAGAGGCGCUGGCGGCCGGAACCGCCCUGCUUGCCGGCCGGGCGGCGACACCAGGUCUCCCUCCUUGCCUGCUGGGUGGUGAGAGGCGGGGUGGGAUCCGAGGAGAAAUGGCUGCCCAAGAAGGGCCUCCCAGCCCUGCCGGACGCCGGCUCGUCCAGGCCCGUCCCGACGGACAGCUUCGCAGACGCGGGCGGCUUCCGACGAGCAGCAAACGCCGACCAGUCAGAUGACGGAUGCCUGGAGACCUGCUGUAACAGCGCGCGGUGCAGAAGCUGUUUUCGGCUGUUCACGAAGCACAAGCUGGUGUAUAAAUUGAGUGGGAUUCUAGGCAGUUUAAUUCUUAGCAACUCCUUUGAGUUAAAUCU
ensembl:lncRNA